rnacentral:rRNA from 1 species
AGCGAACGCUGGCGGCAGGCCUAACACAUGCAAGUCGAACGGUAACAGGUCUUCGGAUGCUGACGAGUGGCGAACGGGUAAGUAAUACAUCGGAACGUGCCUAGUAGUGGGGGAUAACUACUCGAAAGAGUGGCUAAUACCGCAUGAGAUCUACGGAUGAAAGCAGGGGAUCGCAAGGCCUUGUGCUACUAGAGCGGCCGAUGGCAGAUUAGGUAGUUGGUGGGAUAAAAGCUUACCAAGCCGACGAUCUGUAGCUGGUCUGAGAGGACGAUCAGCCACACUGGGACUGAGACACGGCCCAGACUCCUACAGGAGGCAGCAGUGGGGGAUUUUGGACAAUGGGCGCAAGCCUGAUCCAGCAAUGCCGCGUGCAGGAUGAAGGCCUUCGGGUUGUAAACUGCUUUUGUACGGAACGAAAAGCCCUGGGUUAAUACCCUGGGGUCAUGACGGUACCGUAAGAAUAAGCACCGGCUAACUACGUGCCAGCAGCCGCGGUAAGAC